GUUCUCACUUCAGCAGCAUAUAUACACUGUAAUUGGAAUGAUUCAGAGAAUAUUAACAUGGCCUCUGCACAAAGAUGACAUACCAACUCAUGAAGCAUUUCAUAAUUUU